CUGGGGAUGCAACUCAGUGGUGGAGUGCUUGCCUAGGAUGCCUGAGGUCCUGGGUUCAAUUCCCAUUACCACA
rnacentral:tRNA from 1 species